CACGUAGGGGACGAGCGUUGUUCGGAUUCAUUGGGCGUAAAGGGUGCGUAGGCGGCGCGGUAAGUCGGGUGUGAAAUCUCGGAGCUUAACUCCGAAACUGCAUUCGAUACUGCCGUGCUUGAGGACUGGAGAGGAGACUGGAAUUUACGGUGUAGCGGUGAAAUGCGUAGAUAUCGUAAGGAAGACCAGUGGCGAAGGCGGGUCUCUGGACAGUUCCUGACGCUGAGGCACGAAGGUCAGGGGAGCAAACGGG
rnacentral:rRNA from 1 species